ACUCAAAAACUAGAUUGAUUAAUUGAUAAUUCAUUGCUGAUUGUUCACGCGCCCUGUAUGGAAGUAUAAAAAUGGUAAUCCGCAUACUCCAGGAAGAAUUGAAGCAAUCUCAAGAGAAAAGAAGGGAAUCUGGAUCCUUCGUCGGAUCGUCACAGAGCUUAGAGGGGAGCUCUACGCUUCACUGGCCAUGCAAAGCAGGGAGAGUGACGGAGGCGGAGGCACUGCUGGCUGCUGGAGCGGACAUUAACAAGCUGGACAGAGCGCAGUUGAACCCUUUCAUGGACGCGAUCAACUCAGGACAGGUCGACUGUGCUAGAUGGCUGCUGAGGCAAGACGGUUGAAAGCUCCAGCCCGAGAUAUGGUCGUUUUGUAGGGAGCUGGAGAGGGGGCUAGAGUCAGUGCUAACAGCUUAACAGAAGCAAGGUACGGAGAGCGAUCCAUGGCUGUCCCGAUAGACCCACUCAGACUCCUGCCGGAAGAUACUCCUCCGGUUGAUCCAGAUGAGACAGUUCUAGCAGAUGAUCAGUUACAGACUGAAGAACAUAUCCCACAGAUCAAUGUGUCAACAUCUGCAAAUGAAGGUACUUCAAUCUGCUCUUCUUGUAUAUGUCUUUGUGCCUGCGUCUGUGAUUGUACUGAAGUGUACUCUGUGUGUUUGUGCCUGUGUUUGUCUUUGUAUCGAGUGUGUGUCUCUGAUUGUACUGCGUGUGUCUGUAAUUGUAAUGUAGUGUACUGAAGUGAACUAUGUGUGUUUAUGUGUGUGUGUCUGUGUGUGUAUGUGUCUGUGUGUGUUUGUGGGUGUGUUUGUGGGUGUGUGUGUAUGUCUGUGUGUAACUGUGUCU